rnacentral:rRNA from 1 species
UUAACGCUGGCGGUGUGUCUAAUACAUGCAAGUCGAGCGCACUUUAUUGUGAGCGGCGGACGAGCGAGUAACACGUUGGAACCUACCCCAAACUCAGGGAUAACAUCUAGAAAUAGGUGCUAAUACCGGAUAGUCCCGUAAGGGUAAAGAUUUAUCGGUUUGGGAGGGGCCUGCGUACUAUCAGCUUGUUGGUAAGGUAAUGGCUUACCAAGGCUAUGACGGUUAACUGGUCUGAGAGGAUGAUCAGUCGCGAUGGGACUGAGACACGGCCCAUACUCCUACGGGAGGCAGCAGUAAGGAAUCUUCCGCAAUGGACGAAAGUCUGACGGAGCAACACCGCGUGGUUGAUGACGCCUUUAGGGGUGUAAAGACCUUUUCUGAGUGAAGAACUCUGACGGUAACUUAGGAAUAAGCACCGGCUAACUCC